AACCCAAUUUUUUUUGUAAGAAUAUAUUCUGUGCAAUCCAAAUCUAAUCCAAACACAGUGUUCUGAUUAAUAUGAAUAAUAGUUGUUGUUUUUUAAACUGUUUCAAAAUGUACACGUUUCUUAUUCGAUUCCUGUUUUAUUUUGAAAUGAUUACAGGAAAGUCGGUGAUGCUCAUUUUAUUUUGAACUUUGAAAGAGGAAGUGAUGCUUGUGGAAAAUAAAGUGGUCACACCUGAGAUGAGCACAGUGUUGCAUAAACUGCUGGAGACCUUUGCCAACAUUUGACUCUCAAUUGGACAAUGAAGACUUCCAAGCAUGCUUACUUUAUUAGCGGCGUUGUCGCUAACACACCUGUCACGAGACAAACUGAAUUCCAAAUAACUGAUGACUAAAUGGAGGCAGAAUUCCUCAUCAUUCCAUCACAACUUGGAUUUAAGUUCUGUUGGCUGACAUUACUGACAUGCCCAAAGGUUCCCCAGAGGCCGCAUGCCAAAAGCAACGUUUCCCUCCGCGGAGGCACUUAAUGUGGAUUUGGUGUCCCUCAACAAUUUUGAGCUGUAUGCCAACACAAAUGUUUCCAGAGCAACAAAGACAUUAUUGCCUCCUGGUGUGCCCCCCCCCACCCACACACACACACACACUGAUU